rnacentral:snRNA from 1 species
AUCGCUUCUCGGCCUUUUGGCUAAGAUCAAGUGUAAAAAAUUAUAAAAAAUAAUAAAAAACAAAAAACCAGGAGCCUGUGCUCCUAACCUGUGUGUUUGACUUCCUUUCCCUGUGAUGGCUUACAGUCUCAGGAGGAAGAACAGAAA